rnacentral:rRNA from 1 species
UAGGGAAUCUUCGGCAAUGGACGGAAGUCUGACCGAGCAACGCCGCGUGAGUGAAGAAGGUUUUCGGAUCGUAAAGCUCUGUUGUAAGAGAAGAACGAGUGUGAGAGUGGAAAGUUCACACUGUGACGGUAUCUUACCAGAAAGGGACGGCUAACUACGUGCCAGCAGCCGCGGUAAUACGUAGGUCCCGAGCGUUGCCCGGAUUUAUUGGGCGUAAAGCGAGCGCAGGCGGUUAGAUAAGUCUGAAGUUAAAGGCUGUGGCUUAACCAUAGUAGGCUUUGGAAACUGUUUAACUUGGGUGCAAGAGGGGAGAGUGGAAUUCCAUGUGUAGCGGUGAAAUGCGUAGAUAUAUGGAGGAACACCGGUGGCGAAAGCGGCUCUCUGGCUUGUAACUGACGCUGAGGCUCGAAAGCGUGGGGAGCAAACAGGAUUAGAUACCCUGGUAGUCCACGCUGUAAACGAUGAGUGCUAGGUGUUAGACCCUUUCCGGGGUUUAGUGCCGUAGCUAACGCAUUAAGCACUCCGCCUGGGGAGUACGACCGCAAGGUUG